CAUGGCUCAGAUUGAACGCUGGCGGCAGGCCUAACACAUGCAAGUCGAGCGGUUGAGAGUAGCUUGCUACUUGAUGCAGCGGCGGACGGGUGAGUAACGCGUGGGAAUCUGCCCAGUAGUGGGGGACAACAGCCGGAAACGGCUGCUAAUACCGCAUACGCCCUACGGGGAAAGGGGGGAGUCUUCGGACCUCUCGCUAUUGGAUGAGCCCGCGUCGGAUUAGCUAGUUGGUAGGGUAAAGGCCUACCAAGGCUACGAUCCGUAACUGGUCUGAGAGGAUGAUCAGUCACACUGGAACUGAGACACGGUCCAGACUCCUACGGGAGGCAGCAGUGGGGAAUAUUGGACAAUGGGGGAAACCCUGAUCCAGCCAUGCCGCGUGUGUGAAGAAGGCCUUAGGGUUGUAAAGCACUUUCAGUGGGGAGAAAGGUUUGUCACCUAAUACGUGAUGAAAUUGAUGUUACCCACAGAAGAAGCACCGGCUAACUCCGUGCCAGCAGCCGCGGUAAUACGGAGGGUG
rnacentral:rRNA from 1 species